ACACGCAUGGUGAAACGGUAUCAUGCUUGCCUUCCAUAAAUUCAGAGUCGAACCAGUUAGCAAGCGGCAGGGGUUCGACUCCCCUUGUGUGUA